CAAUGAUAAAUCUCAAAACUGAAAGUGAAAACUAAAAAGAAUAGUACUUAAGAAAUUGUAUACUAACUUAUCAUCACCAACAACGAGGAAAGGCAAAACUUGAUUAAAGGCCAAUCGGGUCAGUUUGCUCCUCUUCUUGCUAACAAUUGCUUGACUGCAAAUUGGUCGAUACUUGUUGACAUUGAGGUCAAAAACUGUGACCUUACCAUCAUUAGAGACACAAGCUAAAACCGUGGAACUGUAAGGCGCCCAUUGAACAUCACCAAUUGGAACACCCAAGUCGAACAUGAAGAGUGGUUCCCUGUUUCAAUUGUUCAGAAUUGCAGUUGCAUUGUCACCUUUAAGAGUGAUCAUUGUUCCAUCAGGACCAGGAAUAGGAUCACGGUCAAGAUACAAAGUCAUCACUGUCGUCACUCCAAGAUCAUUUUGAUUAAGCACCCAAUGAUUGAUCUUCCCAUCGAUGCUGACACUGUAAAAAGCAAGGUUGCCCUCUUCGGUGUCUGGUGCCCAGCGUACCUGAAGGUACAACUACUCACCUCCCAGACUAUACCACCAUGUUUUUGAACAACGUCGUUGCUCUUGUAUUGUGGAGCAGUUGGAGGCAGCAUUACAUUGUACACUGCAACCGUACCAUCCAUUGUGCCUGGAUAGGAUGAAACAGAUGGAUGGAUAGACUGACAAUCAUUGAUACUAAGACAUUACCAAUCACUAGGAGAUGAGGAUGCUGCAUACUAAAAUCCAGACACAUCACUGGUGACUCAAUUGGGCAUAUCCACUCUGGAUAAGAUGGAUUCUUCAAACUGAAGAGGCAGACUGUACCACUGGCCACAGUACUCUCGAAGGACACUGAGAACAUGUUUAUCCAGGUUUUGGCUGCCUGAAGCAUUCUAAAUGUUCCAGCCAUUGCUUCCGAUUGGACCUUCCUCUUAGCGUCUUCCUUUUUAGGCUGUGUCGUCAUAGGAAACGAAAGAGGCGUCCCGUACCUGGUACUCAUCGAAUAUGAUCCAUUGGAAGACAUGUCCAUUGAAGCUCGCAGUUGGUGGAGGAACGGUUUGUGUAGUGACAUCCUAAGAAGAAAGACAAUCAUGGGUACAGAAUCAAUUGAAGAAAGUCAAGCAGCCAAUUGUGAAAUAUUAAAAAUCUUGAAAUAAUUACUUACUCUCAUGGGAUUGUCAUAGGCUCUACGUCACUUGGUAUCUUAGGUUUUGUUUUUCACCUACCCCUGGCGUCGUCAUCAUCUUCAUCACCUAUUAAAGUGUCAUCGUCUUCAUCUUCCUGUUCAUCCAACUCAUCCGUGAGACCAUCUCCCUUCUCCUUGUCAGCAUGGGGAUCGUCAUCCGCUUCAGCUACGAUAUGUAAAGUAUAAAUCGAAUUUGGUGCUUUCAUUUCUGCAAAAAAAAAACAGAUAGGAAACUCACUAAUAACUCCACCCGCCAUUUGUACUCUGGCUUCUUCGGAUUCCUUGAGUAACAUAGUCCCAGAUAUAUUAAGUAAAGUAACCAGAUGAGGAGGAUCAGGAAGCCUGACGAAUUCCCGCCACUUCCAGGACCACUCGACAAGAGAGUCAGGAAUUCUUGUGUUGUGCACCAUGAGGACCCUGGCGAUUUCCUCUUGCAAAUCCUAUUUAAACGAUACAAAUAACUAAUACGUUUUGUAUCGACUUUAAUUAGCUAUUUUUAUUUUACCGCUUCAGACAGCUGCAGCUGAUCUUCUGGUUUGAGGAAUGUUUUAGGCCGGUACCAAUCCGUAUCACCAGCAGCUCCUGCCGGCCCAAGAUUACCGACCAUCAGGUCUUGCCGUGAUGUUUUAGUCUUUGUUAAGCUUAUCUGAUACAAUUAAACAUUACUUUAAUCGAUUCAAACCACAUGGAACAUGAUAGUUUUCUCUACAUACGUCUUUACUGUUGUCUGACAAUUUUGAAGAUUGUUUUUUUGGCGCCGAUGGAGGCAUCUUUAUUCGCCGAGUCACAAGGUACUUUUUUAACUUCAAAUAUUCCUUACUUAUGUCCCUCUAUCACUUUCACUUUUAGGCUUAUCGUAAUCAGCGUUAUGACAGCUCAAAACUCCAGAUAGGAAUCUCCAGGAAGACCUCGACGAGAACAGUGUGUUUCGUUGCCCGGACAACGCAGUAAAACUUGAAAGGCAGAAGGGAGCAUCCAUCCUAGUCGAUCGUCUUAUGUCAAGAGAUUCAGAUAAACUCGACGGAGUCGCAAUGUUGACAACCGAGUGUGAACUACCCAGCCAGGCGGCUCUGCUAGGCAUUUACGUUCUGCCAGAAAAAUCAAUAUCACGAUGCCACGUUACAUCCUGACUGCUGCUUGGUGCGUU